CUUAAGCACAAUGAAAACGGGGGAGAAGUGUUUGAAAUUGGAGAGUUUAAGCUUCUUGAUGAAAGGCUCUGCCUGCCUUAGUCAUCGCUGUAUUCCCAGCUGUUGAAGCAGUACCCGGCCCACUGCCAGCAGGGGCAGAGGUAGAGUAGGAG